rnacentral:rRNA from 1 species
UCCUGGCUUAGGAUGAACGCUAGCGGCAGGCUUAACACAUGCAAGUCGAGGGCAGCGGGUGUAGCAAUACAAUGCCGGCGACGGCGAAGGGUGAGUAACGCGUGAGCAACAUGCCCGAUAGUGGAGGAUAGUCGAUGGAAACGUCGCGUAAUACUCCGUAACAUACGGGACCGCAUGAUUCUGUAUUAAUAGAUUUAUUGCUAUCGGAUUGGCUCGCGUACCAUUAGCUAGUUGGCGGGGUAACGGCCCACCAAGGCGACGAUGGUUAGGGGUUCUGAGAGGAAGGUCCCCCACAUUGGAACUGAGACACGGUCCAGACUCCUACGGGAGGCAGCAGUGAGGAAUAUUGGACAAUGGCCGGAAGGCUGAUCCAGCCAUGCCGCGUGCGGGAAGACGGCCCUAUGGGUUGUAAACCGCUUUUGUUGGGGAGCAAUAAGGGUCACGUGUGGCCUGAUGAGAGUACCCAGCGAAUAAGCAUCGGCUAACUCCGUGCCAGCCGCCGC